GAUACUUGACUGACCAAGAGUUAGACAGUCUAUGGCUCUGAUCAUUGUCCAAAACCCUUACCUCUGGGCACUAAUCCUUUGUUGAGGUUAGACAGAUGCCUAUGGAUGGAUUGUAGGACAAAAGAGUUGUGUGGUCUCCUGUGUGCAGAUGUGGGCCUAUGAGCGCAAGGGCUAAUCCCUAACAAACUUCUUCAAGACAUGUACCUAUAAAAGCCGCAAUACAGGGAAGCAACCCUGAAAAACAGACAUAUGUACAUGUCCAUAAAGAGUCUCCCCCUUUGCUAUGUGCUUAGCUUGCUCUUAAAAGGGGGGAACUGCAAUCCACAUUCCGAGACCGUAGUUCCACUGUUUAUUGGCCAGAUUUGACGAGCCAAUCAUGAACCCUG
rnacentral:lncRNA from 1 species